rnacentral:rRNA from 1 species
UACGUAGGGGGCGAACGUUUGUCCGGAUUUAUUGGGCGUAAAGAGCUCGUAGGCGGCUCAGCAAGUCGGCCGUGAAAGUCCGGGGCUCAACCCCGGGAUGCCGGUCGAUACUGCUGUGGCUAGGGUCCGGUAGAGGAGAGUGGAAUUCCCGGUGUAGCGGUGAAAUGCGCAGAUAUCGGGAGGAACACCAGUGGCGAAGGCGGCUCACUGGCUCGGUACUGACGCUGAGGUGCGAAAGCGUGGGGGAGCAAACAGGG